CAGUCGCCGCGGGAAUACAGAGGGUGCAAGCGUUAAUCGGAAUUACUGGGCGUAAAGCGCGCGUAGGUGGUUUGUUAAGUUGGAUGUGAAAGCCCCGGGCUCAACCUGGGAACUGCAUCCAAAACUGGCAAGCUAGAGUACGGUAGAGGGUGGUGGAAUUUCCUGUGUAGCGGUGAAAUGCGUAGAUAUAGGAAGGAACACCAGUGGCGAAGGCGACCACCUGGACUGAUACUGACACUGAGGUGCGAAAGCGUGGGGAGCAAGCAGGAUUAGAUACCCCGGUAGUCCCUGUCUCUUAUAC
rnacentral:rRNA from 1 species